GGUGGUUUUUAGGUGAUGCACCUCGGAAUCGGGCUCCCUCCUCUCUGGUUCUGGGUGUGUCACCCAAGAACCACA
rfam:Myotis lucifugus cont2.11477, whole genome shotgun sequence.